GCUGUUCAUUAACUCUCUAGGGAAAUUUAGUACUCGAAGACUUCAAUAUAAAAAGGGAUGCAGGUGGGGUUUCCUUUCAUGCUAUUCAGAAGGAUUUCAAGGUUCGUGUAUCUGAGAACUACCUCGAAGUUCAUCUAUUUUGGGCUGGAAAGGGAACGUGCUGCAUUCCUCCUACUGGUGGUUACUAUGGACCAUCCAUUUUGGGCAUCAGUGUUACGCCAGAUUUUAUACUGACUGUUAGUAAUCUUCCACCAACAAUCAGUUCGACAAAGAACAGGACUGGAUUGGUUGUUGGGAUAUCAGUUUCUAUUGGAGCAGUGAUCAUAUUAACCAUUUUUGCUUUUUAUAUUUUAAUACGAAGAAGGAAAAGAUUGGCCAAUGACGAAGAUGAAGAUUUUCAAGGAAUGGGCACAAAACCCAACACUUUUAGCUAUGCCCAGCUUAGGGUUGCUACAGAGUACUUCAAUCCUAUGAAUAAACUCGGAGAGGGAGGAUUUGGACCAGUUUACAAGGGUACACUUUUGGAUGGGAAGGUGGUCGCUGUCAAGCAACUAUCGAUGGCAUAUCGCCAGGGAAGGAGUCAGUUCAUGGCUGAGCUUGCUACAAUAUCUUCAGUUUAACAAAGAAACCUUGUAAAAUUGUAUGGAUGUUGCGUCGAGGGAGAUAAGCGACUUCUGGUUUAUGAGUAUCUGGACAACAAGAGCCUUGAUCAAGC